AUUGAACGCUGGCGGCAGGCUUAACACAUGCAAGUCGAGCGGAGAUGAGGUGCUUGCACCUUAUCUUAGCGGCGGACGGGUGAGUAAUGCUUAGGAAUCUGCCUAUUAGUGGGGGACAACAUUCCGAAAGGAAUGCUAAUACCGCAUACGUCCUACGGGAGAAAGCAGGGGAUCUUCGGACCUUGCGCUAAUAGAUGAGCCUAAGUCGGAUUAGCUAGUUGGUGGGGUAAAGGCCUACCAAGGCGACGAUCUGUAGCGGGUCUGAGAGGAUGAUCCGCCACACUGGGACUGAGACACGGCCCAGACUCCUACGGGAGGCAGCAGUGGGGAAUAUUGGACAAUGGGGGGAACCCUGAUCCAGCCAUGCCGCGUGUGUGAAGAAGGCCUUAUGGUUGUAAAGCACUUUAAGCGAGGAGGAGGCUACUGAGACUAAUACUCUUGGAUAGUGGACGUUACUCUUAGAAUAAGCACCGGCUAACUCUGUGCCAGCCGCCGCGGUAACAC
rnacentral:rRNA from 1 species